UGGAGAUUUCCCUACCUUUGUCACAGAAAUGGUGGUGGUGCGUUUCUCAUUCCCUACUUUGCUGGGAUUCUCACGUGUUCCGUUCCACUUUUCUUCCUUGAGGCUUCCAUUGGCCAGUUCUCGAGCAGGAGUGCAUUAUAUGCUUGGUCCAUUUGUCCUUUGCUUAAAGGUAUUGGCAUCACUCAGGUUGCAACCUGUUUCAUAUCAUCCCUGCCUUACAACCUCAUUAUUGCCUGGUCUGUUUACUACUUGUACAAAUCAUUUUU